UACGUAGGGUGCGAGCGUUGUCCGGAAUUAUUGGGCGUAAAGGGCUCGUAGGCGGUUUGUCGCGUCGGGAGUGAAAACCCAGGGCUUAACCCUGGGCUGGCUUCCGAUACGGGCAGGCUAGAGUUCGGUAGGGGAGACUGGAAUUCCUGGUGUAGCGGUGAAAUGCGCAGAUAUCAGGAGGAACACCGGUGGCGAAGGCGGGUCUCUGGGCCGAUACUGACGCUGAGGAGCGAAAGCGUGGGGAGCGAACAGG
rnacentral:rRNA from 1 species